UCCUUAGUGGUCCAGUGGCUAAGACCCCGUGCUCCCAAUGCAGGGGGCCCAGGUUCGAUCCCUGGUCAGGGAA
rnacentral:tRNA from 1 species